rnacentral:rRNA from 1 species
UACGUAGGUGGCGAGCGUUAUCCGGAAUUAUUGGGCGUAUAGCGCGCGCAGGCGGUUCCUUAAGUCUGAUGUGAAAGCCCACGGCUCAACCGUGGAGGGUCAUUGGAAACUGGGGAACUUGAGUGCAGAAGAGAAGAGCGGAAUUCCACGUGUAGCGGUGAAAUGCGUAGAGAUGUGGAGGAACACCAGUGGCGAAGGCGGCUCUUUGGUCUGUAACUGACGCUGAGGCGCGAAAGCGUGGGGAGCAAACAGG